rnacentral:lncRNA from 1 species
GCCCGCCAUGACGCGCGCGGAGCCCGGCUGUGGCCGUACUGCCGCGGGCCGGGUACGCGCCGCGGGCUCCCCGCACCCCCCGCGGGGCUCCCGCGCCACCGCCCGCAGCGCUCAGGGCCGCGGCCACCGUCAGGAGGCGGCCGGAAGCCAGUGGGCGGGACCCCGCGGCCGUGCGCGGGCGGGCGGGGCGCCUGCUGACGUGGCGGCGGCGGCACCAUGCGGGGCAGUGGCGGCUCGGUGAGUGCCCGCGGUCCUCCAGCUACCGGCGCUGCCGGACUGGACCGGACCGCGGCGGGGCGCGGCGUGGCCAAGCGGUUGGCCCGGGGGUGAGGGAGGGACGCGGGACGCCACGCACGGGGCAGGAAGCCGCCGCGGGAUGGGCUCCGCCGUCGGGAUGGCGGGAGCGGGCCGGCGCCACCGGAACACCCGCGGGUGGAUUCGUGCUUCCCCCCCCCCCGCCGGGUCUUGCUGGGCUCACGGCUGGAAGGAGAGGGCACCCGGCCCGGUGCUGGUCUGGGCAUGCGGUGCGGCCUUGGCUCGGUGACCGACCCCCGGCUGUUUGCCGCCCUCCGCCGCUGGGGCCGGUCCCCGGGCGGCGAGCGGGACCCUCUGGGCUGCCUGGAGAGGGGCCAGCGGUGGCCGGGUUUCUAUUCGGAGGCCUGGUCUCCCACCGAGACUGGGGAGCGGCGGGACGGCCCGCUGGAGAGGCGGUCCCGGCUCUGCUCGGGUGAGGGCCGGGGAGGGACCCGGAGCAGGCGCUGCCAGCACCGGCCGUGCGCUUUGUCCGAAAGGCUUUUACUGCCGGAGAGGGUUGUCCGCGGAGUAUGCAGCAGAAAUGGAAAUGUGGGGCUGGAACGGGGAGUUCCCCGAAGGGUGCUGAGCCAUCACGCCGGCCUGUCCCCCCGCUGUUUUCCCUCGGGGGUGGGGACACUCGUGGCGGUGCGGGACACUUGGUGCUUCCACGGACACCUCUGUGGCUGUAGGACCGACUCACUGGCAGUUACUGCAUCAGUCUCCUGACCUCAGUGAGAGUUCCUGUACUCUGUUUAAACACCACCUUUCCACAUGCGUUGUUGUGGAGCAGCCUGUCUCCAGCAGCAGGACAUAUUCCAGGUCGCAGAAGUGUCCCACAGUCCAUAGGGAGGCUGAAAUAGCCCCUUGGAAACGAAGCUUCUUCAUCUUUUCAGGCUCUAGACUGCAGUUCCUCUUUUUCUGAACUGUGCAAGGAAGUUGGCUGUUUUGUGUUCCAGAUGUCCAGCCCUCGGGUGUUCCUGCAUACGUUAGGUCUCUGGUUUUAAGUGGCAAGUACACCGUAUAAAUAAAAAAGUAUUCAAAACUGAAACACCAGUUUCUCUAGAAGUUUCCUUCACAAAUUCUGCUAUCAACUUUUCAGAAAGGAAGGCUAAACAGAUCAUUUGCACUCUCCUUUGUUUUAUUGCAGAUCCAUAACUGUGGCCUAAAUUUUUCAUGCUAAUCUUUACUUUUAUGCAAAACUUGUUAGUUAUUAAAAAAAAAAAAAAAAA